rnacentral:tRNA from 1 species
GAGGGAAUAGCUCAGUGGUAGAGCGUGUGCUUAGCAUGCACGAGGUCCUGGGUUCAAUCCCCAGUACCUCCA